AUAUUAAUAGUUGCAACUGAAUGUAAGACUAACCUCUUUGUUUCUUAUAGAUAAAUAGUCAAUGACAUUGUUGAAUAAUUUCAAAUUUUUUUUUUUGUAUAUAAUAAUUCAUCAAGUAUAUUUAAACUAGUUGAAUUUAAUGCGGUAACGUGUAAUCAGAAAAAAAUACGAAUUGCACGAUAGAACAAAGGUGAAACGUAUAAAUAAAAAUCACUAAACAUUUAAGAAAUAUGAAUCGUAAUUUUGUGAAAGUUGAAAAAUUAUUUAAAUAUAUUCAAUGAAUAUGUAUUUAAGAUUAUAUCAUUUCAAAUUUUAUGAUACAAUGAAGCUGAAUUGAUAAAAAAAGAAAUGCAAACAAAAUUAAAGAUGUUUUUUUGUAAAAUGAAAUUGUUUGAUUAAAGAUUGUUUAUGUUUUUUAUAUAUUCAUUUUUAAAUUUGUUUCUGAAUUGUUUUUUCUUUCUUUAUUCAUUUAUAUUAAUAAUCAUGUCAAAACCUGAUAUGCCAAAACUUGUGACUGCACUUUUUUCCUUUAAAGGAAAAAAUAAUGAUGAAUUAUGUUUUAAAAAAGGAGAUGUAAUAACAAUAACACAAACAGAUGAAGAAGGCUGGUGGGAAGGCACAUUGCAUGACAAAACUGGCUGGUUUCCAUCUAAUUAUGUCAAAGAAUGUAGAGUUUCAGAAAACAAUAUUUCAACUAUGAAGACUUCUCCUGAAAAAAUUCUGCAAGAAUCCCCUGUGCAUCAAAAAUUAAAUCGAGAUAUUGUAUUAAAGGAUUUAAUAGAUUCUGAAAGAGUGAAUGUAGCAGAAUUGCAGGGUUUAAUAAACAAUUUUUUACAUCCCCUAGAAUCUGCUAAUAUAUUAGAAAAAGAAGAAUAUAAACAACUUUUAGGUAAUAUACAUGAAGUUCUUGAAAUACAUCAACGAUUAUUAUCUAACUUGGAAACAACUGUGACACAAGAUUGCGUUUUGAGAGUUGGAAAUCUGUUUCUAACAUUAGCACCAAAAUUAAAAUCUAUUCAUAUAACAUAUUGUGAAAAUCAUCCACAGGCUGUAUGUAUUUUAGACCAAUAUAGAGAUGAAUUGAAUGAUUUCAUGGAACAUAAUGGAGCAAUAUCACCGGGUAUAUUAGUAUUAACAACUAGUUUAAGUAAACCUUUUCGAAGAUUGGACAAAUAUUCUGCUAUGCUUCAAGAAUUGGAAAGGUAUACAGAAAAGAAUCAUCCUGAUAGAGGCGACACUCAGCGCAGUAUAGCUGUAUAUAGAGAAAUAGCUGAUCAAUGUGUAUCUAUACGAAAACAACGUGAAUUAGCACUUCAAGUUUUAACUAGUGGUAUUAAAGGAUGGGAGGGAGAAGAAUUAAAUUCUCUUGGAGAAAUUCUUUAUGUUGGCUCAGUCACUUUGGCAAAUGGAACUACAAGUCUAGAUCGUCGAGAUAGAUAUUUUGUUCUUUUUCCAACAACUCUUUUAGUUCUCAGUAUCAGUCCAAGAAUGAGUUCUUUUGUUUAUGAAGGAAAACUUCCAUUAACGGGUAUUACCAUUAUUCAAAUAGAAGAUACAGAUGAAAUAAGAAAUACUUUUGAAAUUACAGGACCAAUGAUUGAGAAUAUACUCGUAUUUUGUGCUACUAAAGAAGAUCAACAGCGUUGGAUUAAACUUUUAAUACAAGAACAAACAACAAAUAAUAGUCUUGUAAAAUCAUCAAUGACAUCACGCAUUUGCAGCCAACAAAAUGGGAAACAACAACAACAGCAACAACAACAGCAGCAUCAGCAGCAGCAACAACAACAACAACAACAUCAUCAUCAUCAUCAUCAUCAUCAUCAUCAUCAUCAUCACAGAUCAAUCAUGGAAUAUUGUUCCACCUUAGGAAUUAGAACACCUUGGAGUAUUGCUUCAUUACGACCAGCACCUCCUUCCUAUACUUUUAAAAUAUUUAAUAAAACUGACAUCAAUUUGGAUUUAUCUUCACCACGCUUAUGUAAUGAAAGACAAUUUGAAGAAGAUGCAAUUAUAUUAAAAGUGAUUGAGGCAUACUGUCUUUCUGUAAAUGCUAGAUUCACUAUGCAUUCUGGAGAAUCAACUUGUAGCAAUGUUGGAAUAUGAUUCACAUAAAAUGCAAGAAAAAGUUUCCUUAAUGAAUAAUUGUAAAAAUUGGGAUUUUUGUACUAAUCGGAUAUUAUCAGAAACAGUUAGGACAUUGAAAAAUCAAAUGACAGAUUUACAAUCACAAAUGUCAUUAUUGACAAAACAAUUAGAUGAAGAAAGGCGAUCAAGACUUUUUUUAGCUGCUACAAUAAAGCGUAGUAUUGGUAUAAUG
rnacentral:misc_RNA from 1 species